GAUGAACGCUGACAGAAUGCUUAACACAUGCAAGUCGAUUCGAUUUACCUUCGGGUAUUGAGGAUGGCGGACGGGUGAGUAACGCGUAAGGAACUUGCCUCUUGGUCUGGGACAACUGUUGGAAACGACAGCUAAUACCGGAUAUUAUGAGAUUCUCGCAUGGGAAACUUAUGAAAGCUAUAUGCGCCAAGAGAGAGCCUUGCGUUCCAUUAGCUAGUUGGUGGGGUAACGGCCCACCAAGGCGACGAUGGAUAGCCGGCCUGAGAGGGUGAACGGCCACAAGGGGACUGAGACACGGCCCUUACUCCUACGGGAGGCAGCAGUGGGGAAUAUUGGACAAUGGACCAAAAGUCUGAUCCAGCAAUUCUGUGUGCACGAUGAAGGUCUUCGGAUUGUAAAGUGCUUUCAGUUGGGAAGAAGCAAGUGACGGUACCAACAGAAGAAGCGACGGCUAAAUACGUGCCAGCAGCCGCGGUAAUACGUAUGUCGCAAGCGUUAUCCGGAUUUAUUGGGCGUAAAGCGCGUCUAGGCGGAAAAAUAANUCUGAUGUUAAAAUGCGGGGCUCAACUCCGUAUUGCGUUGGAAACUGNUUUUCUA
rnacentral:rRNA from 1 species